AAGAAAAAUGGACUAUUAGGCUGUUCAGAAAAAUAGCAGUGUCUGCAUUUUUCUUUCUGUGAUGCUUAUGACUCCUUCACAGGUGGCCUUUAUUUAAGGACAAAGGCAGCAAAUGUCGUACACUCUGGCUGUAGUGCAUUUCUCUCUGAAAAUCUGAGUGAAAUGGGUCAUUCCAGACAUUGUUCAGAACAGUGUAAUUUGAUCAAAAAGUUGAUUGGAUAGGGGGAAACGUGUAAACUGCAGAAAAUGAUAGGCUCCUCAGCUAAAAUGAUCUCAGAUGGUUUAAAAUGGCAACAAAACCAGAAGGGUAUGGAAGAAAAUGGAAAA